GAUGAACGCUGGCGGCGUGCCUAAUACAUGCAAGUCGAGCGAACAGACGAGGAGCUUGCUCCUCUGACGUUAGCGGCGGACGGGUGAGUAACACGUGGAUAACCUACCUAUAAGACUGGGAUAACUUCGGGAAACCGGAGCUAAUACCGGAUAAUAUAUUGAACCGCAUGGUUCAAUAGUGAAAGACGGUUUUGCUGUCACUUAUAGAUGGAUCCGCGCCGCAUUAGCUAGUUGGUAAGGUAACGGCUUACCAAGGCGACGAUGCGUAGCCGACCUGAGAGGGUGAUCGGCCACACGGGAACUGAGACACGGUCCAGACUCCUACGGGAGGCAGCAGUAGGGAAUCUUACGCAAUGGGCGAAAGCCUGACGGAGCAAAGCCGCGGGAGUGAUGAAGGUCUUCGGAUCGUAAAACUCUGUUAUUAGGGAAGAACAAAUGUGUAAGUAACUAUGCACGUCUUGACGGUACCUAAUCAGAAAGCCACGGCUAACUACGUG
rnacentral:rRNA from 1 species